GAAGAUUGCGUGUGCGUGUGGGGGUUGAAGAGGGUUUUAAGGAGUAAGAGAGAAACGUCAAAGGCUGCAAUUAUUGUAUUUUUGAGUAAAAUAUGUUGUUCACUGGAAUAUGUCUUUCUACUCUCUCCUAAGUAUCUUUUACAUUAUAUUUCUCCCUUCUCCCCAAAUUAAACCCCUAUUUACUAGAUUUCACACAAACCUAACCUUCCAUCACGUUCACAUCUCCAAAGUAAUUGCUUUUUAGAUCACAUGGGUUUCUUUACAACAACAACCCAAAAAAAAACUACUUAAAAGGUACAGAUUUCUUCUACUUUUUUAUUAUUUGAAAUUAUGUAGCAGGAGUUAUUAAUAUUCUUUUUAAACUUCAUCAACAAGUUAUAACCCUUCAACACAUCAUCUUAAAUUACUUUGAAAAGCAGGAGAAAUUAGAAAGUCGUGUAGAGCAUCAAAGCUUGCACAAAAAACAAUUUGAAACGCCCUUAAUUAUCCCUCCACAUCAUACUUAAAAUAGUGAUUAAACACUAAAGCUUGCCUUUAAGUCGAACAUGAAAAAUUAAAUAAACCAUUUGUUAAUGUCUUUGUGUAAUUAUUAUAUGAUAAGAAAUUGAAUGAAAUGAUGUUAGCGUUAGUGCUUAAAAGCCCUUUAUGUCAAUCAUUUAUGUAUAAUGCCCCCUUUCUCCUUUUCUUUAGGCAUCAUUUGUCUUUGCCCUUUUAAAUCAAAAUGCUACUCUCUUUAUUCCACACUUUGCUACUUAUUCCAUAAUUUCGAAUCCUCUUCUUUUUUUAAAAAAAAUUAAUUAAAUAAAUAAAGAUGAAAUUAUGCCCAUCAAAAGGAAUUUCUAGAAACAAAUUAAGCAGGGUGUAGAAAUUUCAAAAGCAACCAAUGUAUGUAAACAUUUCAAAGUUGACCUAAGGCAGCACAUUUUCUUGAGUUUAAAGCCAAUUUUGUCAAAUUAAAUGCGGCCUCAAGCAAUACAUCCAUACGGACGGUAUUCGAUAAUUACAUUGGAUCUUAAAAGAAACUCGAAUUCGAAUUAAAAAGGGGAUUGGAGGGAGCUGUGAAACAUGAUUAAAUUGAGACUAAGACAACAAGUAGAGACUUAAACCUCUCCUACUUGACUACGCAACCGGAUGAAACAGACGGGUGGUGAGAGUAAGGUUUGUGGCUUAGGCAGGCCAUUUAGGUAUCUGUGUCGGGUGCAACCCAGCAACUUGCAUGCUCCCAACCCUUUAGAAAUGUGCAAAUUUCAUUGCUAUCUUGGGAUAUAAUGAGUCAAUUCCUGAAUAGUUAUUUUCAUUAAAUACACCUACUUUUCUUCCUCUUCUUAUGUAUCCAUUUAAAUAAGAAUCCCCCUCCUGGAUAACAGUUUUAUACGUAUACGGACGGAUAUUACAAUUGUAGUCAACUUCUGAAAUAUGUAACUUUAAUGCAAAAUUAGUUUAAAUAUUUUAUUUUUUACAGAAGACUUUGGAAUUUAUGGAUGUUAAUUAACUCAUCAUCCUACUUGUGUAUUGAGUUCC
rnacentral:lncRNA from 1 species